rnacentral:rRNA from 1 species
GACGAACGCUGGCGGCGUGCCUAAUACAUGCAAGUCGAACGCAGUGGGGACGGGUGAGUAACACGUGGGUAACCUCCCAUCAGAGGGGAUAACACUUGGAAACAGGUGCUAAACCGAUACUGAUGGAUGGACCCGCGGUGCAUGAGCUAGUUGGUGAGGUAACGGCUCACCAAGGCCACGAUGCAUAGCCGGCCUGAGAGGGUGACAGGCCAAACGGGGACUGUGACACGGCCCAGAGUCCUACGAGAUGCAGCAGGAGGGAAUCUUCUGCAAUGGGCGAAAGUCUGACCGAGCAACGCCGCGAUAGUGAAGAAGGUUUUCGGAUAGUAAAACUCUGUUGUUAGAGAAGAGGUAUAGAACGAGAAAGCCAUGGCUAACUACGUGCCAGCAGCCGCGGUAAUUC